UGGGCUGGUCAUCUUACAUCAUCCUUUUUGAAACCCAAUGGAACCAUUCACCCUGUCUGGGAGUCAAAAAUGGUUCACCAGAUCUUAAAUCUUGCGCCGUAUCAACCGGGAUAAUUGAACAAACUACAUGAUUUCUAAAGACGUUUAAUUGAACCACCCAACCUAUUGGAGAGUCCAAAAUGGUAACAGUCCAGUCCAGUCGUCCUCUGUGUACCAAGUAGUCAGCUCACAAACAGAAGAACAAAACACAGUUUGAAACCACAAUACUUAGCCGUUAUUCCUCGGUGGAGGUCUGGGAUGAGCACAACUCUUUUUUUUUUUUUUUCCAAGCUUCACUCGUGUUAUGUAAAUGACCUGGAAUACCCGCCGAGGCAACGAGCUUGUCCUGGCUGACGGCCAUAUUGACCCGGACUCGGCGUUCCCUCUUGUUGCUGUUUAGUCCGUCACACUGAUGCACAAAGACGGCGUCCAUCCUCGACGUCCACGCUCUGUUUCGAACGAGAUCGAUGCGCUUGUCACAUUUCCAAUUUCAUAAUUUCCAGGGACGACAAGCUGGACCAUCUUUCCGUUUGUCCGUCGUCUUCUUCUCCGACAGUCGCCACGAUGUCCAUCAAACCCGUAGGAACUGCUUGACAUGGCUUUUGUCAGCACAUACGUGUGUCUAAAUUAUGAUCGCCCGAAUAGAGGAAUGCUCCAUUAUUUGGCCUUGUUGUUUGACUUUGGCCUUGGUCUGUGCCCCACUUUGAGUUCGACCUUCAACUUUGACAAGAGGCAGUGAGGUGAGGCCAGAAAUUGCCUGAAGAUGGGCAGAUGGAAUCUCGCCCUCACCUUCUGUACAAACCCAACGACGAGAACUCUUGUUAAAGACCUCCACUUUAUUGGGCCCGAACUGUCACAUCUGAUAACCGUCACAGCAACGAGGGGGCGACUGGGUGAUUGCUCGGUGCCAGACCUGGACACUUUCACCUUUUCAAGACGGGGAAAAGAUUUAAGAGCCUCAAAGGCAUCAGAACUUGAAGAUGUAAUCUCGUCGACAACAACAACAACAAAAAAAACCUCCUUGCAAUAUGGCAGCAACAUUUGCCAAAAGACAUUGGCUAUAAUGACAGCGGCACAAAUGAGCGCGGCGCAGAGGCUUCCUGCACAGAAUGGCGCAUUAGCGCAUUGCUGACAGACGAGUCUUAAUUGUUUCCUCUGGCAAAUAGAAGUUCACACGGGAGAACAAAAAAGCUCGCCUGGCAGCGGCGCCUUUUGAUGCAACGGUGACGAUGACCUUGCUGCAGUGCGCCCCGCCGCAGGAUCCUUAAGAGUUUAUCUUGACACACUCCCGGAGAGUGACUCUCAGGUGUCGCGCUGAUAGACCAAUUCAUUUAACUCCGUCACGAUCCAGGGGCUCGAGAGGCUGCCGCCUGAUGAAUCCCGAUUGUUCUUCUGCCUGUCUGGCUGUUUGCUCUCCUUCGGGCGAGAGACGUUGUUCUGCCAAUAGCCUGCAGACUGUUAACGCACCAGAAGCACUUUGCUGUUUGCAACCGUCGCCGUCGUCCUACGAUAACUGCCGUGCUGACUGCAUUUAUAACCACGUCUGCACGGGCAGCUAGGAGCUCAAACAGAUAACGCAUCUUGCAUGUGUAAAAUCGAGGUUUUUAGGGUGGAUUCUACGGAUGGCGUGACCGAUACGACACUCCAACUUAUGGAGGAAAGAACUACUCGAGAAAAAUACCUUCAAAUAUGUGACAAGCCCUACAAAACCUCUCUGUUUCACCUACUUUGCAUCAGACUAUGCUAACAUAAUAUAUUCCUUUGGAUUGCAAAGGUUUUAGGUAUUAUUACCCAUUGUUUGUUUCCGAAAUGAUAUUCCCUAAAAAGUUGUGAAACAUUCAGGUGUAACCUGGGGUGCUAAAGCUAUGUAGCUUAUCUGAGUUUGAAGAUCAAAAGCAGUGAUAAAACCAUUCAAAACUUCAAUUAAAGCACUUGAAAUUGCCCUUAAGUAUCUUUUUUUGAAGUCGUGCUUUUGUCAAAAACUGGUUAACUUGACAUAAUGCGAGUGGGGAACUCCAACCAUCUUAAUCUAGCGACAGAAUCCAUCUAUGUUGUUUAGGAAAUGUCGUCAACACAGCAAUGGACACUUGUGAUAAAACGAUAAGGAAAAAAAGAAAUAUUUAAGAGAAAUAAAUACCUUCUAAUGUGCGACAAACUCUUGUAAAACCUC